rnacentral:lncRNA from 1 species
AUGUGGAUGUCUGAGCUCAUAUCAGGUGUCUGAAAGAGGCAGAUUCUGAGGAUUUGGGUCAUGAUGGCUGCCAAAGCUUCUGCUCCUGACUUAAAGGGCAACAAUCCUAGGAGACCACCAGCACUUACAUCCCUGGUAGGACAUGACACCUGCUUAUGGCUCAGAAGUGACAAAAGAGAAUUAUCAGGAUGGCAGUCCUUAUAACCAGAUGCUUAUCAACAUUCUUCACUACAUUCUGAAGAUGAAUUUCUACAAGGGAAAUUGUUUAUGGAGGCAGCAGAUGGCUGAAAUUCUGAUCUGAUGUGGCUGGUUAAUGCAUGAUCUGAAAACCCCUGCACUGGUGAUUUUGGGACAGAUCUAGAAUAUACCAAUAAAUAUAUUAACAUACCAAGUAGUCUAGGAGCAGCCACUGGGCGAACACCAAACCUUGCAUCCCUGGUGCUGUCUCUGAGCUCAGCAGACACGUCUUUGCAGAAGAGUUCUAUAAUGGUGGUACAAUGGCGCCCCCUCGUGACAGAAGCUUGAACUACAGCUUGAACUUCGUGUGACAUGAUGAAUGAAUUUAUUGAGCCCCAGGAAGAAGGAAAAUUAAAGAAGAGCAAAGAAUAAUAGCUGGACAGAAGAUGGGGGUCAUUGAACCUAUAUCCUAGUUGCCAGACCAGUAAACUGACCACGGGACCUGGGGGAGGCAGCAGAUGACCGAAAACCUGGAGUGAUGUGGCUGAAUACCGCAUGAUCUGAAGACUGCACUGGUGGCUGCGGUAUGGGUCCAAAUUUUUCCUUAACAAAA